UACGAACUGUGCAAACGUUAUUCGGAAUCACUGGGCUUAAAGGGUGCGUAGGCGGCCAUUUAAGUAGGGUGUGAAAGCCUGGAGCUCAACUCCAGAAUUGCGCCCUAAACUGGAUGGCUCGAGUGAGGUAGGGGUGUGUGGAACUUCCGGUGGAGCGGUGAAAUGUGUUGAUAUCGGAAGGAACGCCGGUGGCGAAAGCGACACACUGGGUCUCAACUGACGCUGAGGCACGAAAGCCAGGGUAGCGAACGGG
rnacentral:rRNA from 1 species